rnacentral:tRNA from 1 species
CCAACCAUAGCUCAGUUAAUAGAGCGAAGGAUUAUAGAAGCAUAAUUGCGCACAGAGAUCCUUAGGUCGCUGGUUUGAAUCCGGCUGUUUGGA